AGAGAGAGAAAGAGUUGAGUUUAUGUACUUUUAAAAAAUAUAAAAAAAUUUAUAUUUAUAAUUUUUUAGCCAUCAGAUUAUCUCAAAAGUCAGAAAGUAUUAUUAACAGUGUGUCCCAUUAAGUCCACUUUAUUAGUGUUGUACUGAUAUUCAGAUAAUCCGACAGCUAAAAAAUUACAAACACGUUAAGCUCCAAUGCUUCUAAAGGCACAUGAGCUCAACUCUCUCUCUCUCUCUCUCUAUAUAUAGAGAGUAAGGCUAUUGUAUUUUUAUGAGUAUAGAGUUAUUCGUACUUAUAAGUUAUUUUCGAUGAUAUAGCUUCCGAAUUGAUGGUCUAUACGAUUAAAUAUAUUCUGGAGCACUUGAGAUUUCUAAAAAAUAAUUUCGUAAUUUUUUGAAAUUAUAAUAAAGUUCGUCAAACGGAUAUAAAAUGAACGGUAAAAAUCGAUUUACUAAAAAUAGAGAAUCAGAUACUUCAAUUUAAGAUUAGAGUUAUUGAUCUUUAUCUAGAUGGCGAAUAGAAUUUUCAAUUACAAAUUCAAUCUAUUUCAAAUCUUUUACAUCGUUAACUAACAAUUAUUUCAUAUCGACCGUUAAAAAUUAUCAAUCUUGAUAUCUUUUGAUCGUAUGGUAAAUAAUGUCGAAAAAAUAAUAAAUUUUGAUUUCAAAAUUUUUUUAUUAUUCUAAAUAAUGUUUGAAGGUAUGGAUUGUCAAUUCGAAAAUUCUAUUAUCGAAAAUGACUUAUAAGUACGAAAGCGAUCGUGCUCAUAAGAGUAUAGUAAUCGAACUCUGUGUUAAUAUAUAUAAC
rnacentral:lncRNA from 1 species